AUGCUGAGGUCCACCGGCCGCCUUCUGCUGCUCGCGCUAGCGGCGAGCCACCUGCUGCUCACCGCCGCCGGCGCUGGCUGCGAGCCGAGCGGCACGCUCCGGCCGACCCAGAGCCACGCGUGCCAGGACUGCUGCAAGGCCGGGCAGGCGUACCCGACGUACAGGUGCUCGCCGCCGGUCUCCUCGUCCACCCGGGCGGUCAUGACUCUGAACGACUUCGACGCGGGCGGCGACGGCGGGGACCCGUCCGAGUGCGACGGCGCGUUCCACCGCAGCUCGGAGCGCGUGGCGGCGCUGUCCACGGGGUGGUACAGCGGGGGCUCCCGCUGCGGCAAGAGCAUACGGAUCCGGGCCAACGGCAGGUCCGUGCUCGCCAAGGUCGUCGACGAGUGCGACACCGUGAACGGGUGCGACCGCGAGCACGCCUUCCAGCCGCCGUGCCGCAACAACGUCGUCGACGCCUCCCAGGCGGUCUGGGACGCGCUGGGCAUCACCGGGGAGGAGGUCGGCGAGUACAACGUCACUUGGUCAGAUGCAUGA
rnacentral:rRNA from 1 species